CACGCCUACGGGACGCAGCAGUAGGGAAUCUUCCACAAUGGGCGAAAGCCUGAUGGAGCAACGCCGCGUGGGUGAAGAAGGUCUUCGGAUCGUAAAACCCUGUUGUUAGAGAAGAAAGUGCGUGAGAGUAACUGUUCACGUUUCGACGGUAUCUAACCAGAACGCCACGGCUAACUACGUGUCAGCAGCCGCGGUAAUACGUAGGUGGCAAGCGUUAUCCGGAUUUAUUGGGCGUAAAGGGUACGCAGGCGGUCUUUUAAGUCUGAUGUGAAAUCCUUCGGCUUAACCGGAGUAGUGCAUU
rnacentral:rRNA from 1 species